GAUGAAGAACGUAGCGAAAUGCGAUAAGUAAUGUGAAUUGCAUAAUUCAGUGAAUCAUCGAGUUUUUGAACGCAUAUUGCGCCCUCUGGUAUUCCGGGGGGCAUGCCUGUUCGAGCGUCAUUAAAUAACCCUCAAGCAUAGCUUGGUGUUGGGCUUUUUUACGUCCUUGACUGGGAUGGGCCUAAAAAUUAGUGGCGAUGGCUUUUUUACUUUCAAGCGUAGUAAAUCUCGUCUUGCUAAAGAGGAAAAAGAUUUUUUUUCUGCCAAAAAUUUUAACAUUUAAAGUUGACCUCGGAUCAGGUAGGAUUACCCGCUGAACUUAAGCAUAUCAAUAAGCGGAGGA
rnacentral:misc_RNA from 1 species